rnacentral:rRNA from 1 species
AGCAGCCGCGGUAAUUCCAGCUCCAAUAGCGUAUAUUAAAGUUGUUGCAGUUAAAAGCUCGUAGUUGAAUUUCGGGACUUGUCAGUUGGUCGGGCUUCACUGUCCGUAUUGACUUGAUGGAUUCUUACCUUCUGAAUAACCAGCAUGCUAUUAAGUUAGUGCGUUGGGGAAGCAGAUCUAUUACCUUGAAAAAAUUAGAGUGCUUAAAGCGAGCUAGUGCUUGAAUAGAUUAGCAUGGAAUAAUAAAAUAGGACGGCAUGGUUCUAUUUUGUUGGUUUCUAGGAUCACCGUAAUGAUUAAUAGGGAUAGUUGGGGGCAUUAGUAUUCAAUUGUCAGAGGUGAAAUUCUUGGAUUUAUUGAAGACUAACUUCUGCGAAAGCAUUUUGCCAAGGAUGUUUUCAUUAAUCAAGAACGAAAGUUAGGGGAUCGAAGACGAUCAGAUACCGUCGUAGUCUUAACCAUAAACUAUGCCGACUAGGAAUCGGACGAUGUUAAUUUUAUAAUGACUCGUUCGGCACCU